AGCUCGAUAGUUCAGUUAGUAGAAUACAUGCUUUGGGUGUUCCUACAAACAAGCAUGUGGUCCUAGGUCCAAUUCCCAGUCGAGCCC